AUUCUUUUUUGUUUUUUGUUUUUGUUUUAUUUUCAGACUCCUAUUUACUUUUAUGUUUUAAUUUUUCUAGUUUUCCUAUUUUAUUUUCUUUUCUUUAUGGUGGUUGGUGUUCUUUGUCGUUUGUUGGAUGUUGUUUAUCUGCUCAUCUUGAGAUCUGGCAUGGUCUUAGAUGGUGUCAACUCUGAGUUCGGAUUGAAAUUAUGUCAAUGUUCGGAAUUGGAGUUGAUGAAUGGCUCUAAUAGUGAUGCAUCGAUACUAUGAUAUGACCUGGUGCAGGUUUAAUGGCAUGGAAUGGAUUGAGAGCUCAUCGAGAUUUGCUGCGGAUUCUGCUGAUGGGGUGGUUAUGUUGUUGAGAUUUGUGGUUUUUUUUUUUUUGGUUGUGUUUUUAAUUAGUAUCGUGUUAUGGCGUAUUGUGUUACUAUUUUCCUUCUCCGAAUUGGAAAGAGAUUUCAUUUGUAUUAGUUGAGAUUGACAGCAAUCUAUAAAUUCCGGCUAAUUUUAAUUAGUUUUAAUUAUAGUGAAAUUCUUAUUCUCUUUUCAGUUUGUAAUUAUAGUUGUUGUUAGGAAUUGUCCUAGCUUGGGUUUGAGUCUUUUAUCUUACAUAUUGUACUUAAGUUUAGUUAUCGUGUAUUUAUACUCAUGUGGUAUAAUAUUGUGUAUUUGUGCCCCUGUGGCAUUAUAUUGUUGGUCAUUAAUUGGUCUUUAAUAAAAGACAUACUUUGUUUUUUUUUUUUAAAUAAAAUAGUAGAUGGUAGGUGUUUAUUAAAUAUUUUUAAUAUUAUAGCUUUUAAAUUAUAAUUAUUCAACAACACAACUAAGUAAAGCUUUAAUUUAUCUUAUUAAAAAAAAGGAAAAAAAAUAACUCAUGUAUCAUCGUACGAUCGUAAUGUCACAUUGGACUACAAUAUUUAUUUUUUCAUUGUAAUAAUAAUAGGAUCCAUUAAAUAAAUAAAUAAAAAAAGCCCAAUAACGUUCUCAAAAGUCAAAAACAUGUGUUAGCUAAUUAACUAAUUGAGUUUUGGUCCAUAUCUCAUCAAUAAAUCUCACUUGAGGCUCGUGGGUGCAUAUGUGUGUUUGUGUGUGUAUAUAUAUUCAAGUGAAUUUAUGUGAGAUUCAUUAGUGAAAUGUGUACCAUUUUUUCAACUGAAUUAAGGAUAAAAUUUAAUAACCACAUGAAGGCAAAGCGAUAAUGUAAACUUAAAAAAAAAAAAAAAGGUUUAAAGUUAAAAAGAAUGCAGAUAAAUUUAGGAGGUGUGGUGAAAUCAACCCAAAAUAUUUUGCAAAAGAAAGAUUUUAUUUUGAAAAAAAAUUGUAUUUGAAAGGUUAAAAAAAAAAAAAUUGCUGACAAAUAAUAAUAAUAUGACAGGAACUUUUAACCGAACAUAACUGAAUGACGGACGUGUCUGUGUUUCACUCUUUGUCGUAUGAUCGCAUGUAUUGGGCCAUCAAUCUUCAACGUUUCUCCUUAAUCAGGCGAAGGCAUCACAGGCGAUUCGUCAUUUCACACCAUGUCCGUGACCCGGCCGACUCAGAGUUAUCGGCAAGGUUUCCAGCAGGACCCGGGUGAGUGACGCGGCCUCUUCGUUCAUAUCAAAUAUCAAAAACAAACAAUCUGGUUAAAGAAAAGAUUAUGUUGCCGAAAAUUUAAAUUUGUUUCUAAAUUUUAAGGUUUUUGCAUAGACGCAGUGCAUGUGUCUGUGUGUCAAUUAUAAUAAAAUCUCUAAAAUAUUCAAUCUUUCCUAUAGUGGUUCAGCGGCGCAGAGUUGUAAUUCCCAACAGCCACGGUGAGAAGCUUGUGGGGAUAUUACAUGAAACUGGUUCAAAGCAGCUUGUUAUCGUGUGCCAUGGAUUUCAAUCCACAAAGGUUGGUCGUUCUGAAAAGUCAUACGCUUCAUAUUAUUCUACGAUUAUUCGAAUAUAUUUAUUACUAGUCCAAUUUGGUGAAUUCUGAGUUUGUAUUCCAAAAUGUGAGUUUGCUUCUGAAGUGUUCACGCAUCUUAGGACAAAUUGUGGGUUUCAAUUUAUUAACAUAGUUAGAAGUGUUAGCUAUCAGUUCUGAAAUUGAGGUUGGUUUUCUAAACGUGAUGUUUUGUCUGUAGGAUCGAAUCCCCAUGGUGAACCUUGCUGCUGCUUUGGAAAGAGAAGGAAUCAGUGCCUUCCGCUUCGACUUUUCUGGGAAUGGGUAGGAUGAUUACAGUAAAAGCAAUUAAACAUCAACUGAGUGAACUUCGUCUUGGCAGAAAACAAUUUUCAGUUGCAACCCACUGGGCCUUUAAUUUCUAAGGGUUCGCUUGUGGAUAUAUUAAACCUUGCUUAGUGAUGUGAACUCUCCCUAGUAAUUUCAUCAGCCUUUUCUUUUCAAAUUCCAUUUAUAUUUUUACAGUCUAUUGAAUUUCCAUUGAGAAAUUUUCAACGUUGGGCAUCAUCAGCAUACAAUGCCAAAAUUGCUCGAGAGCAUGUGAAGCUGCGAGACCUUUGUUACUUUAUCAUUAGUUUCUUGAAGUAAUUAGUUCAUACUGCUCUUAUUGCUGUUGAAUCUAAUGCUGCAUUUUCUGCUAACUUUGGAGGCUCAACAAGUUUGUAUUGCCUCUAGCAGUGUACCAAGUCCGGUGUUUUAUGGCCAGUGUUCUGUUUUUCUUAAUUAGAUUUGUAGCGCUGAUGCCUAGUAAGGGUGUGUUUUAACUGGCCAUUUAAGGGGCUUUAAUGGCCUCUUCUUAUUGUCUUCAUUUCAGGGAUUUAAAGUUGAGGUGAACAAACACAGUAACUUCAAAUGAAUUACUUUACACCAACCUCAAAUCACACACGUCCAGUAUCUCCUCCUGCUACCAGCAAAUUCAGAUUCACAUAAAAGCAUGUAACUCAUGCGAGAUUUCUUAGCAAAUAUAAUUUGGACUUAUGAAGUAACAAAUGUUAGACUUUGAUGUAAUUUCUUUCUAAACACAUUCUUCUAAUGAUGAUAAGCAGUUGCUUGUAAUUUGUUUUGUAGAGAAAGUGAAGGGUCAUUUUUGUAUGGUAACUACCGCAGAGAAGCUGAGGAUUUGCGUGCCAUAGUCCAAGACUUCUGUGCGAAGGGGCGUGUAAUAACUGCAAUUAUUGGACACAGCAAAGGUCUUUAAAUUAGCUUGUUAGGCUCAAUUCAGAAAUCACACCUAUAAAUAUUGUGAUUUCAUCUUGAUACACCUGACAACAUAUAUAGGUCCAGGUGUGAGUAAUCAUAGAUUGAAUAAACUGGUAAAUGGAACAUUGUUAUCAUGCUAAUGAUCCACAAAUUUCAAAUUCUAUUUGCUGAUGCCACUAGAAAUUUCUGCUUAAAGUUUGUUGGUACUAUAUAGUUGCAAAAACGGUUUUCUCAGUCCAUAUAUGCUUGACAGUGACGCACUCAUAAAAUCUGCUUAGAGCGAUGACUUUGGAACUUAUGUUUCCUCAAUCAGACCUACUUGGCUUAGAAGAGUUUAAAUAUUUGUUUCAUUUUUCCUUUUUUGAAAGUGCCAUAUUGCUGAAAAGGGUUCCUACAGGAGGAAAUGCGGUGCUUUUGUAUGCUUCAAAGUAUAACGACAUAAGUAUAGUCAUCAAUAUUUCUGGCCGGUUCAAUCUCAAGAGAGGCAUUGAAGGUCGCUUGGGGCUAGGAUAUUUACAGAGAAUCAAGCAGAAUGGAUUCAUUGAUGUUAGGAAUAAAAAGGGUAAGCUAUCAAUUGUUAUUAUAGCACUAACUUGUCAUUAGUUAUAUGAUGCUUGUUUCAUAUGACUACAGGUGUGCUUCUCCUUUGAAAUAUUUUAUUUUCUAUACUUUCUGGAGUAUGGUCAAGCAACAUUAGAGUUUACAACUUAAAUAGCCUUGUUUAUGGAAUACCGGGGAUCAUAUAAUCUUGAGAUUACAAUGAUUGUGUAUUUAACAAGCAAUUCUUACGAUUACUUUUAUUGUACAUUGACCUGAUAUUUUUUUCUUCUUCUUGUUAGGAAAGCUUGAGUAUCGUGUGACUCAAGAAAGUUUGAUGGACCGCUUAUCCACUGAUAUUCAUGCAGCAUGCCAUAUGAUUUGCCAAGACUGCAGGUACUAGGGCACAAUUCAUUUAACAGAUUGCAUGAUUGUAAAUCCUUGCUCAUGUUUCUUGUGAAAAAUGCCAGCCAAAAUUUCUGUCUGAUAUGGUGAAGUUUCUUAAUCUGCUUUUACAUACACCUGGUUUAUUUACAUUCUUCAUCUCAAUUUAUGUGAAGGCAGAGGGACUGUUGUUAAACUUACUUUGCUUCUCUCUUUUUAAUUAAAAUAGAGUGAGGAAAGUAACUUAGAUAUGGAAGACAAUAAUCAAGCAUGCCAAUUUGGAAUUUGCUGGCGAACAUUCCUUUUUUUGGGGGAAGUUUGUUAUCCAAAAUGAUGAAAAUUAACAUUUAAGAGGAAGUUCAGGAUAGUAUUCUGAAUCUUAUUUGACAUACAGUUUCUAUGAAGCCGCACGAGAGGAGCCUGAGUCAAUUUUUUCUUACUGAUGUUUAGAAUGAAUAAGAUUUCUUGGAUCUGCCCCUUUGGAAUAUAGUGGAUUCAUAAUGUAUGCUUUUGUUUAUGCCAUCUUGUGGAAUCGCUUAAAGUAGUCUUAAUCUGCUAGUUUGAUCCAACCAGCCUAGACAGUUUGAAAUUAAAAUAGUUAAUCUCUCAUCAAGUUAUAUAACUGUUGAGUUAAUUGUCUAGAAUCAAGAACAGAUGUUAAUAUCAACUGCCAGUGGCAUUUGUUUCCUUAUUAUUCUACCAUCAAAGUUAAAUAUUCUUCAAGUACCUAAAAUGAAGGCGAAAUGUCAUGUUAUAGGAAAUCUAAAACUGUUUGAUCCACAGAUGCAUAUUUUCCUCUGAGAUAAAGCAUUAAUUUGGACCUCCAUGUAAUUUAAUGUCAAUGAACAUUUGGGAAGAGCAUUUAAAGUAUAAAAUACGACUAAGGGUCUUUUGAAGUAUUCAUUUUUCUAUUUAUUGGAGAUUGUAAUUUUGACUCUUAUUACACCAAUGUGUCCUAAUGUCCUUGCUAUCAUUUACAGGGUGUUGACAAUUCAUGGAACCAAGGAUAAAAUGGUACCGGCAGAAGAUGCUUUGGAGUUCGAUAAGUUCAUACCUAACCAUAAGCUGCACAUCAUAGAAGGAGCCGACCAUGAGUUCACUUCACAUCAGGAUGAAUUAGCUUCACUUGUGAUUCAGUUUAUAAAGGCAAACUAUCAGAAAGACGGACCAACAAGUAAAAGAGCUGAUGGUACAAUUGAUUCGCGAAUGUGACAACACUCGGUUGCAGCAAUAACAGAUUCCAAGUCUUAACUUUCAAGUCUUUUUGCCUUGGGACUACUUGUUAUGAAAUGAUAUAAGAUAUCAAAUUCAGCUGUUCGGUGGGUGUUGGAGUCAAUUUUUUAGACUUGCCUAGACUAAAAUCAAUAAAUACGAUUAAUCUAUUCACAGUUAUUUCCCUUAUCAUUUCUACUAGAAUACGGCUGAUGCAUCUCUUUUAUUCCCUUAUUAUUUUUUUAACCCCUCUUUGGCAGCGUAUCUCGGUAGAACAACUUGUUUCAAACCUUUUAGAAGUUACUAGCAAAAUUGAAUUACAACAAUAAGAUCAAAGCUGGAAACUGACAACUUGACCAAUGUUCUUCAAUUUCAUAUUUUCAUUUGCGGUUCGAUAGGGAUCAAUCACAAAAUCCGUUGUAAUGCAAUCCAUUUUGAAAUCCGUCUCCAUGCUUGCAUCCAUUAUACAAAGUUAAUCACUCCAUAUGAUAAAAAUAAACAAACAGACGGCACCUCCAUAAAUCUCAAAAUCUUACAAGUUCGGCGACUGGGAUUUGAUACAGCUAUUCGACCUUGACCAUAAGACAGAUGCUAUAGGGGCAGGGAAUUGCAUAUGCCCAUAAAACCCUAGAUUACAACUCCUCUCUAUGGGUAUAGUUCUGAAAAGUGCUCUGGUGCCUAGCAAGAGAAGAACUCAAUAGAGACGACGAUGAGAUUAAAACACUCAUUAUCAUUCCAAAAUCUCUCAACCAUGUUUAUUUGAUUAGGCCGCAACAGUCUUUGGCUUGGUUCCAAUUUUUCUCCAAGAAACACUGGGCAUAAUCUGUUUUGAGUCAACACGAUCCUUGAACUGAAUGGCAAAGUUGAGCAACGAGUCAAGAAGUGAGUCCGAAAGAAUGUGUGGUUGGAGUCCCAGCUCAAUGAGUUUUGUGUGCUUUGCAUUGUAAUAAUGCUCCUCUGCUUCUACUCGUGGGUUGGGAACAGAUAUGGUUUUUACGUCAAGCCCAAGCUUCUCUCCUGCUUUUGUAACUAGGGCAGCAAGUUGAUUGACAGAAAACUGCUCCGUGAAUUGAUUAAAGACCCGAAAUUCACCGGGCUGUGCUGGGUUUGCAAUUGCAAGUUCAACACACUGAACUGUAUCUCUUAUGUCAAGGUAACCUCUAGUCUGAAACAUAAAAAAUAUAUACAGUUAGUCAAAGCACUUACUUAUGUAGUAGCAGAACAAAAGAAAAACCAUGUGCAACAGGGGGGGCNNNNNNNNNNNNNNNNNNNNNNNNNNNNNNNNNNNNNNNNNNNNNNNNNNNNNNNNNNNNNNNNNNNNNNNNNNNNNNNNNNNNNNNNNNNNNNNNNNNNNNNNNNNNNNNNNNNNNNNNNNNNNNNNNNNNNNNNNNNNNNNNNNNNNNNNNNNNNNNNNNNNNNNNNNNNNNNNNNNNNNNNNNNNNNNNNNNNNNNNNNNNNNNNNNNNNNNNNNNNNNNNNNNNNNNNNNNNNNNNNNNNNNNNNNNNNNNNNNNNNNNNNNNNNNNNNNNNNNNNNNNNNNNNNNNNNNNNNNNNNNNNNNNNNNNNNNNNNNNNNNNNNNNNNNNNNNNNNNNNNNNNNNNNNNNNNNNNNNNNNNNNNNNNNNNNNNNNNNNNNNNNNNNNNNNNNNNNNNNNNNNNNNNNNNNNNNNNNNNNNNNNNNNNNNNNNNNNNNNNNNNNNNNNNNNNNNNNNNNNNNNNNNNNNNNNNNNNNNNNNNNNNNNNNNNNNNNNNNNNNNNNNNNNNNNNNNNNNNNNNUAAUGAAUAUGAUGAUCAAUCUCUCUCAAGGAAAAUCAUGUUCUUUCAUGGAAAACAUGAUUUAAGUAUCAUAUCUACUUAUGGAAAUGAUGUAUAUGCAAGGCAGUGAACUAUAAGAUAAGGCAUACCUGGCCUCCUUUUCCAUACACUGUAAGCGGAUGACCGACAGCAGCUUGAACACAAAACCGAUUCAAUGCAGUCCCAAACACCCCAUCAUAAUCUAACCUGUUACAGAGUUCUUCAUGCAUGGCAGUCUCAUCUGUUCUCACUCCAUAAACCACUCCUUGAUUCAGAUCAGUUGCUCUGAUUCCCCAGGCCUUGCAAGUAAAGGCUAUAUUAUGCGAGUCAUGAACCUUACUCAGAUGGUAGAAAGAGCUGGCUUGCUUGGGAUAAGGUAAAGUAUCUGUUCUUCCGUUGUGAUUAAUCGUUAUAUAACCCUCCUCAAUAUCAAUAUUUGGGGUUCCAUAUUCUCCCAUUGUCCCAAGUUUCACCAAAUGACACUCCUGUCUGAAUUCCUUCAUAGCGAAGAGGACAUUUAGUGUUCCAAUUACAUUAUUAUGCUGAGUGAACACAGCUCUUGACCGAUCAAUCAUUGAAUAAGGGGCAGAGCGCUGCUCCCCAAAAUGGACAACAGCAUCAGGUUCAAAUGACUUGAAGCUUUCUGAUAAGAAUUCAAAGUCACAAAUAUCACCAAUGUAGAGUUCAAUAUUUUUUCCAGUAAGAGAUUUCCAACAGCGGAGUCUAUCAUGGAUGGAGGCAAUAGGGGUCAAGGAAUCAAGACCGAGUUGGUGGUCAAAGAGACGACGGAUAAGACUGUCAACAAUAGCUACCUCAUAGCCUUUGUUGGAUAGGUGGAGUGCAGUAGCCCAACCACAAUAGCCAUCUCCACCAAUGAUCAUGACCCGCUUUGCCUUGGACGGAUCAUUGGAGGACUGAUGCAAACCAGAGCGUGACUGAGUCGGGGUAAAGGGGGUGGCGGUUGCAUAAACAGUGUGACAUCUCUGAGACCUUUGUGCUGACAAGAUAACCGUCUGAAUUGGAGAUUUGGAUGUUUUCACAGUAAAAGAGGUAGGCAAGCCAAUUAAGCCUUGGUUCAAUUGCUGGAAAGAAGGUUUGCGGCAAGAAGGAAUGUUCAAAGAGCAUGAAGUCGAAAGCAAAUGUGCCAUGUUAAUCUGAAUCUCUGGUUCAACUCAACAAUAUGCACAUACACCUGCAGAUAUCAACACAUCUAAGUAAAUUCAGUUUCCAGCUAUUGACUAAGAGCAUAUAACAACAGGAUUCCACCAAGUACAAGAAGGCAGAUACGGAGACAGGGAGAAAGAGUGUAAAUGCGAAAUCUUUGAGCAGAAGAAUGCGAUAAAGACAAUUACUGCUGCCAUAGCUUAAAUUGAUCAAUGUGCAGUGCAAUAAUAGUACACAACAUGAAUAUUUCCAGAAUAAAAUUAAAAUUUAAAAGAAUUAAAUUGGUCAAACGGACAAUUCUCGGAUACUCCGACAACUCACACCGAGAGUUACCGGAGAGUUCAAGGUGAAAGUCGGCGGCUUCGUCAACACAAUCUCAGUCCUAACUCGUAAGAGAUAAUAAAAUCAGAAGAAAAGUUGCCAAAAAGAAAAUAAAAGUAAGACAAGAGCAUUCCCUAUUACCCGUAGAGAAGCAAACUUGAAACUUGAGAAUAUUGGAGACGGGAAACUAUGUAUUUGUUGUAUCUGGGCAAAGAGUGAGAGUGAAGGUGUUUCGGUUUUUCUGAACUACGUUGAAAUUUGAGGAAUCACAAGAGACAAGAGCCAAAGUAUAUUCGCUUUAUCUAUAUAGCGGCCGUUAGCUCGGGACAUUUGUCCGCAAAUUUGCGGCCAUGUUGAGACACGUGUGAUUUCUUUUUCCUUUAUUUUUUGUAAUCAAUUUUUUAUGUCAUGGAAAUUGAAAAUUGAAAUGAAGUUUUGACACAAGCGGUGGAAAACUUUUUAAGGUACAAAAAUAAAAAAAAAUAAAAAAUGCUCUCAAUACUAUCUGUAUCAUAAACAAAAUGAUGUUUACAGAUUUCUGGUCAGAUAAUUUUCAUACGCUUUGACCAAUUUUGACAUUCAAAAUCUCCAGACCAUUAUAUAUUUCUCUCCGGCCAGAAAAGGCAAACAAGGGCAAGGCUUGCUCACAAAAGAAACAAGAUAUACUAAAAGAAGAAAUUCAUAAAAAAAACAACAACAUAAUUAGAGGUCCACUGAUAGUUUUAAGCUUCACUGAUACACAAUUUCUCAUCUCAGCUGCAAGGGACUUCUUUCCUCGUACAUUUGUACAAAAUCCAGCCAAGAAAAAAAUGAGCAGUUUAUAGGCUCCUUUUUGUCAAAUUGAAACUACCACCCUUUUGAAAAAGCUCCUAACAUUAUGCGGCUGCAACCUUUUUCCCGUCUUCAAUGAAAUAUAUAGCAGUUUCGGGCACCUGAAACGGCACAGAAGAUGCACAAAAUUCAGUGCAGGGAAUGAACAAAUGGAUUGGGAACUGCCUAGCUUACAUGAUAUGGAGCAUAAUUGUCGAUGGUAAUGAGAUGACUUAUUGCAUGCAAACAAAAUCAGUAAUUAAAGCACUUGAUAAAGAAACACUGGUCAAAUUUAAGCAACUUCUGUUUCAGAAACUUUAAAACUUCAUCAACUUCUGCAACACCAAUGUGAAAUUUUCUAAAAUAUGUCCCAAAUAUGAUUAUUACAUAUUCAGAGAAGAAAUUAACUACAAACCUAGAGUUAAUUACACAGUAACAUCUUCUAUCAUGUCAGUAUUAUCACCGAAAACAUGAUAUAUUCAUAACACUCAUAACAAUCCCCAAUGGCCUUUUCCUUAAGAACUCAAGUCUGUAGAGUAAAACUUCACACCAUCCAAGAAAUUGGGCUAAAAUUGUUUCAGUUUCAUAGCCCUUGAGCUAAAGUAUCUAGGAUUUGUAGUGUUUUCAUCUUUCUGAUGUCUAGCAGAAGAAAGAUACAUUAAAAGAGUGGGACAAAAUCUUCUUUUAGUGUUUUCCAAAUGCACCAUUUAUGUAAGACACAAGAGAAGGAAAAAAAAAUGCUUAAAGAAAUUACAGCAGGCCAGGUGUCUGUAAUGAAUUCCACAAUGUCAUAGGAUAUGUCCCCUUGAACAUCAAUUUGCUCUUUCUCAGUUGGGCCCUAAAAGUAUCAAGUCAUUAGAAGAUUGUAAGAAAAAUAUGAAUAUGAGGAUGAAAAAAGCUGGUAGGUACUUGUAAUAUUUACACACCUUAACAACAGAUGCUCCAGUGGCAAACUUUUUCCCAAGCUUUUUAGAAGCAUCACUAAGUUUAACACCUGACACAAGUGCCAAUCCCCAGAAACUAAAUUGUAACUUCAACAAUAACAAAAAUCGGAGCUAUUAAACAUUAGUAUACAAAGAGAUGAAUUAAAUAUGGCUUACCAAACAGGUCCAGGCCCUUCACAAUGGUUAUACAUUUGCGCUUGUUGCGUACAACUUUUUCAAUAACAACUUCUUGUCUUUCCUAUUAGUGAAUAAAAAAUUUUGAAUUGUCAUCACAUCAGAAGAUUUGAGCUAUGCAACAGAACAUUGAAAACCAAUUACAAAGAUAAAAGGUCUACAGGAAAUAAUCUGUAUCAAGAAUGGCAACAAGACUACUCCAAUGUGACCAAACAUGUGGCCUCUUAUUAACUUCUUCACGCUCACGUCCAUAUUGUCAUUAAAAAUAAAAUAAAAAUCCUAACUCUGGUCCAACUCACUUCACAACCUCAAUGAGAUCUAGCAAUCAUAUGUGGGCCUUUGUAUAAGUUUGAUCACAAAUUCACACUUUCAACAAAGCGAUUCCCACUGAUGAGUCUAGAAGCUUUCAAUUAAGUUGAAGGUGUGAGUGAUUGGUUGCGCAUCUAAGCUGCAGGCAAACGUCAUUUACAUUGCAAGUAGCAAACAUACUAAAAGCAAAGCUAUACUCGAUUCAACAUUAGUGAUUCGCACCUGCGUGCAGGAUUAACAUCUUUUUCGCUUAAUAGUUUCCUUUGCGUAGCAUGAGGGCAGGAUAGGAAAAAAGCUCGUAGUGUGAAAAAAGAAAACAGAUUCCACCUCUUAAAUCAUUCAAUAAGUGAAGUUCCCGUCAGAAACUUCAAAAAUGAAUCCAACUUUCACGGGUAGUAACAUUAAGGCUAGAUCUUUGUAAGCUUGAAUAGUUGGCUUAAGAUGAGACAUGGUAUUCCAAUCCCAUAAAAUAGAGACUAACCAGCAGUACCAAACAAUGACAUUUGAUGAUUCAUACAACGCUGAUCCCCUACCAGUGAGAUUGUAGAAAUAAGAAAACAAGAAUGAUAUUUCAAGUCUUAAACAGCAUUUUACAUCUAUAAAUCCAUCAAAACUUUAAACAAUCAUGUUUAGAGUUAGACAUUCAUUUGAAACUUUAAAUACUGGUAAUGAGCAAGCUCUUCAAGGAUAUCCGCUGAAAACAAGAGAUUUACUAAUAAAAAAAACUAGUCUUACUUUCUUCUUUAUUUUUCCACCAGGAAGACGUUUAACUUCUUCUUGCUUAGACGAUGAUGUUUGCCCUGAAAUUGUUAAUCAAUCAAUUACCGUGACAAACAAUAAAACACUCAUCACACAAGAUUCAGUUGUCCGAAAAUUAAAAGUAUAACAAAAGAAGUCUUACCAGAAGUAGCUCCAUCAGCACCGCCUGAAGAGAGACCAAAUAAUUGAAGCUGCCCAGAGACCUUCUCAGCCUCCUUUUCAUUUGCUUCUGAAAACAUUAAUCACACAAUCAAAAAAAAAAAAAGCAUAUGGGAUUUAAAAAAAAAAAAAAAGGCGUACGUAAUUUAAGUACCUUUAAGGAGAUCUGGGUAUAAUUCAGGAGCGUUUUUGAUCAACCAAGGUUUGCAUUUCUCAAAGUCAGGACCGAAUUCACAGUACUCCGCAGGAAGAGAACAUAUUGAACAAUACAGAACACGCACUGGUUGAGGUUUCUCUGCCAUCCAGUAAAAUUAUAUUAUUGUACUCCUGUUCUGUCCGAUCAAUUUGCUCUUCUCUUUUGUUUCCGGGGCUUAUGAUAAAAAGGGUCUUAGAUUGAAUUCUCGAAAGUGUUUUGUGUUUUUGCAGUUUCGCUUUGAGAGACGGAAUCCGAUUCCGCUGCUGGGAAAGGAAUGAUCUUUCCGUUUGGUAACUUUCUGCAAGGCCCAGUGACUUGACUGGAUCAAUGCACCCCACGCCGAAGCUAGUUUGGGCGCCCAAGAUUAGUUCUAAUUUGAAAAGCCCAAAACUAAUUCACGCUGGAUUAGUAUUUUAAAAAAGAAAAUAUAUUAUUUCUGAAUUGGAUAAUAUAUUAAUAACUUAAAUUAAAAAACAAAAAUUGCAUGGAGGUAAAUAUUUUGGGUUGUGGGGAUCAAACAAUAGCAUCUGCAGGUGGCAUAUUCGUAAAAUGAACCAACUUCUUUGUAUCGUUGCCUACCGCUAGACGCCAAUACACUCGAGGAAAGACUCAAAACCAACGUCUCUUUAUCAAUAAUGCCAAAAGCUUCUCCUCAAAAAAAAAUAAUAAUAAUGCCAAAAGCUUUUGUAUCUUUUAUUGCUUCCUGCAGUUUCCUAUGCCUUUUUUUUUUUUUUUUAAUUUAAAUUCCCCUUUUCUUCGUUUUUUUUUUAUGGAAGUAGUUUAGUUUUAUUUAGCUAACAGUCUCCUCCUACUAGUCGAAAAGAUGUCGUUGUUGUUGGUUUCCACUAGGGGUGGGCACGGUUCGGUUCGGUUCGGUUCGGUUCGAAAUUAAGUAGAACCGAUUUAAAUCGGUUAUUUUAUAAAAAGAACCGAAUAAGAACCGAACUCAAUAAGAACCGAACUCAAACGGUUCUUUUCGGAUCGGUUCGGUUCGGUUCGGUUUUUUCGGUUCUUGGCCUAUUGAGCUUAUUUUUAAUUUUUAAUUUUUUAGUCCAUUGGGCCUCAUGAAUGUAAUAAUUUUUUUCAACAAUUAAUUUAUCCUAAUUUUAUUACAAAUAUUAACAAUAAAUACAAAGUAUUCAAAACACAUUUUAUCACUAAUAUCUUACUAACUAUUAAUAAGAUACUCCCAAAAUAUGAAAUAUUAAAAUUUCAAAAUACAUAACCAAACUCCAAUACUCCAUCUAUAUAAACAUAAUCAUAAUGUUAUAAAGAGAAAUAACACAUGUUUGAUUUGAAUAAAAUCAUGUUUGAUUUGAAUAAAAUUAUUAACACAUGUUUGAUUUGAAUAAAAUAAAAAAAUAAUUCGGUUUUUCGGUUCGGUUUUUCGGUUCAGCUAAGUGAACCGAAUACCGAACCGACAUUUCGGUUUUUUUUACAAACGGUAUAUUCGGUUUUUUAAAAAAAUAAAAACCGAACCGAAUUAAAAAAAACCGUCGGUUCGGUUCGGUUUUUUUAACACUACGGUUUUUUUGCCCACCCCUAGUUUCCACUUUCCACUCUCCAGUCUGCCCCUCCUUUUCGAAAGCAAAAGAUUCCUUCGACAAGAAAUGUAAAAAAAAAAAAAAAAAAAGUUACUCAUCGCCAGGUGGUGAACACUGAAACCUUUUAUUACCAGUUACCCCGAACUAAUUUGUAAAUUUAUUAUAAAUAUCUGUGUAAAUAUUAGUUUAUAUAAAGAAGUAAAAAUAACAUACAAAUAUAAGUAGAAAUGUUUCAAUCAGAGAUUCCUAGUCAUAUUAAAAGUAAAUUAAAAAAUACAGAAUAUGUAGUGUAUUUUGUUAUGUAAUUAAUUGAAAUCUAUAUUUUUUUUUUAAUCUUUUUUCCUUAUUGAAAACUAAUACAAUUUUUAAUGUAUUAAAAUUCGUGCUUUUUGUAUUUUACCAACAUACUAGAGAAUGACUCUCUCUCUCUAUAUAUAUAUAUCAUGUAUCUCAAGCAAUGCGACAUAAAAAAAUUUAAUACAUAUAUUUAAUGAAAGGAUGACAAAAAUGCAACAAAAAACUUAUAAUAUAAAUAACUAAAAUUGUACAUUAAAAAAAUUAUUUAUGAAAUUCAUUUUUAUUUUAGUGAUAGAAAAUGUGAAAAAAAACAAUGAAUUUAUGAAAAUGUUAUUAAUUCUUACGAUGUCAUUUUGUCACUUCAUAACAUUAAGGGCAUUAUAAUAUAUUGACAUUGAAGUAAUAAUAAUAAUUUAGCCCCCUAAUGAUUUUAUUUUAUUCAAUAAAUUUAUAAUUUAAUUAUUUUAUAAAAUAAGUCUCUAAUUCUAAUUGAAAAAAAAAAUAGAGUUUUAUUAGGGACAUACAUAAAAAUAAAAUAAAAACUUUAUGAUUGUAUGAAGAAUUAUAAAAUUAAAGGGAUAAAAAAAAGAAAAUUUUCCUCGAUUGGGUCGUAGUUGCUCGGGCUAUACUGAACAGGUGGUAAAAAUUAUUUUCAUUGGAGUUUGAGUCCCAAAAUUUAGGACUCAUCUUUAUCUUAAUCUUUAUGUAUAGGAACAAGAAAGACAAAUACGUUAUAAGAGAAUGUAGGUUGUUUCUGAUAUAGUUAUUGUAAAUUCAAUUUACUCCCUCAAUUUUAUUAUUUUUACAGUGAGAUCCCAAUCCAUUUUCGUUUUUGUCAUUGAAACCAGCCACUCCUUGUCGUCGUUUCUCUCUCUUCCUCUCAUUAUCAUCUUUGUUUCUUACCAAGUUGGGCUGGACGCAGUGUUCUGAGUAAUACAAUAGUGUUCUGUGGUGUCUCUUCAAAAUGCAUCGCUGUCUGACCCCACCCACCGUUUCUCUUGUGUCACAUUUGUAUAUUCCUAAAUCCAACAAAUAACAUCGGAAGGCGAACCAAUCAGCAAAGAGCCAGGCCAAAAGCAGCAAACACUCGUACAACGUCACCCAAUAGCCAAUACACAGCAAGCGCAAAAGAUAACAGUACGAUACACCAACAUACCAGCAGAAAGAGAGUAAGAGAUAUAGAGGGAGAAGCCUUCUGCUCUGUUCUCAGAUCUCUCUUUCUUUUUCUUGAUCCAAUGGUUGAUUCUAAGAAGCACAUUUCACAGCAAGACCUCAAGGGUCACAACAAGCCUGGAGAUCUAUGGAUCUCUGUACAAGGCAAGGUCUACAAUGUCACUGAUUGGACCAAACACCACCCAGGUGGUGACCUUCCGUUGCUCAGUCUUGCUGGUCAAGAUGUCACUGACGCUUUUGUUGCUUAUCAUCCCGGCGCUGCCUGGCAGUAUCUUGAUAAGUUCUUUACUGGGUACUAUCUCGAAGACUACACUGUCUCUGAAGCAUCAAAAGAUUACAGAAAGCUUGUGGCUGAGUUUUCAAAGAUGGGUUUGUUUGAAAAGAAAGGACACUGUGCGUUGUAUACUUUUGUCUUCAUGGCAAUGCUGUUUGCUGUUAGUAUUUAUGGUGUUUUUUGCUCUGACAGCACAUGGGUUCAUCUCUGUUCUGGUGGAUUAAUGGGGUUAUUGUGGAUCCAAAGUGGUUGGAUAGGGCAUGACUCUGGUCACUAUCAGGUCAUGUCUAGUCGAGGAAUUAAUCGUAUAGUGCAGGUUUUGACUGGGAAUUGUCUUGCAGGGAUCAGUAUUGCGUGGUGGAAACGGAACCACAAUGCCCAUCACAUUGCUUGUAAUAGUCUUGACUUCGAUCCGGAUCUUCAGCACAUGCCUUUCUUUGUGGUAUCUUCCAAAUUCUUCAAUUCAAUAACUUCGUGUUAUUAUGAGAGGAAACUGCAUUUUGAUUCUGUUGCUAGAUUCUUAGUUAGUUACCAGCAUUGGACUUUUUACCCUGUCAUGUGUUUAGCUAGAAUUAAUCUGUUUGCACAAUCAUUUCUAUUGUUGCUCUCAAAGAAGAAUGUGCCCAAUAGAGUUCAGGAAAUUUUUGGAAUUCUUGUGUUUUGGAUUUGGUACCCAUUGCUUAUUUCCUGCUUACCCAAUUGGGGGGAAAGAGUGAUGUUUAUUGUGGCUAGUUUUUCGGUUACUGGAAUCCAACAUGUUCAGUUCUGUUUGAACCAUUUCUCGUCAAAUGUAUAUGUUGGUCCACCUUGUUCAAAUGAUUGGUUUCGGAAGCAAACUCAGGGGACACUUAAUAUAAAGUGCUCUUCUUGGAUGGAUUGGUUUCAUGGUGGGUUGCAGUUUCAAGUUGAGCACCAUUUGUUUCCUCGAUUGCCUCGAUGCAAUCUCAGGAAAGUUUCACCCUUUGUUGUGGAGCUCUGUAAGAAGCAUAAUUUGCCGUACAACAUUGUCUCAUUUUGGAAGUCCAAUGCAAUGACAGUGGAGACUCUUCAGGCUGCUGCCUUACAGGCUCGAGAUCUCUCCCGUCCAGUUCCAAGGAAUCUGGUGUGGGAGGCUGUUAACACUCAUGGAUGAUGCACCUCUUCUGAAGCUUUCUAAGUUUUUGCCGCUGCAGUUAUUUGCACCUGUUUGACGUUUUGAUGCAGAAUGGCUCUAAUAACUUCAUUUUGAUUGAUAUCCAAGGGUGGCCAUUCUUGUUGCUGAUGGAAGAAUAAGUUUGUUAUUGCUUGGAGGCUUCAAAUGAUCAUUUAUCUGAGCUCCAUUCUACGGUAUCAGCUCUUGCUUUUCAUGGAUUAGGCUGCAGCUUGUUUGUACCGACUACCUGCUAGUUUUCCUCUUGUUUGUGCUCAAGAAUGUGGCUGCUCAGGUAUUAGCGUCAUGGGUAGUAUUGUGUUUGCUUUUGAUAGCUGAAUGUGUCAUUAUAAGACAUUGAUUCUUUUUCUGUAGAUUCAAUCGUGAAUGUUUAUUAUUUCAUUGCUGUCGGAAGACUCAAAACCAGUGGAAGUAGCAUUUUAUGGUUAUUUAAUGUCAAAAAUCAACUUUAGCUUAUUAGUUGACGCCAUCUUCCACAGGUGUCGUUAUUAAAUAUUAAUCACUUAAUGGCAACGAAGUCUAGUCAAAGUAUUCAAAUUUCAGUGAUUCUUUUCUCACAAACACAUACUGCAAGGCAAUUUAGUUCAAAGAAGACAACGAGGCUUCUUGUUCAUUGUCGGUAGGAGGUUUCUAUCAAGUGCAAACCGUUUGUUUUUUAAUCUAGCUUGUAAUGUUAAAUUGAAAGACGAAAUCCUCUCCAACAAAAACACCAAAAUGUCAUCAGAAAUAAAACUGCAAUGAUUUGUUUCUAUAAUUCUGUCAUUCUGUUUGUUAUUUUGAGUCAAUUCUUUACGUCAACUGUGACCAAUUUUAAUUACAGGAAAAUUUGGAGAGUUAUUUCGCUGGAAUGUUGCUAUCCAGGCCGAUGAUAGUACAGCAUAAAGUAGUAAUUAAGUAAUUUAAUUAUACAUGAAAUAGAGCAUGAUGAAUCGCACUUUGCUUUGUUCGUGGCAGCUAAUAUAACAAGCCUGCUAUUUGGAGUUCUCGUGUUCGCCAAGUGUUUUGGGACUCUGAAAGGCUUAUUUGAAAGCUCUGACCCAUAAAACAAUAAUUAAUAUGAGGCAUCCGAUUAUUAUAUAUAAGUACACUAAAAAUGAUAUUCAAUUGAUAUUAAAGAAAUGAAUUUAAUUAUACAAGAGAUAGAGCUUUAAUAUCUGUAACACAUCCAUACUUGUUCAUUCAGAUGAUUACAAAGAAUUACCCUAACUAUAACAGUAAACUUGUUGCCAUUUUUUUUAUUUUUUCUGGUUAUAGAACAAUCCAUCAUCCAGGAACGCUUCAUUUCAUUUAUCGAUCAACUGUUAGUGAAGUUAUAAGUGUUUUCGGACUGAGAAGGCGAAGAAUCAGAAGAAAUAUUAUUCAUGAUUGAGUUUGCGCAGCCAUCGAUUGAACCCUUGGUCCUGAUAUCUUCAAUCAUCCUAUGCACGAUGCUCAUAUUUGGACGAUCUUUUGGCAAUGGAGCCAAACAAAGCAAAGCCACUUGCAAAAGGGCCCUCAUCUCUUCCUCCAUCUCUUUGUCCAUUAUCAACUCAAAAUCAAACACCUCCCAAGCGCUCUCGUCUUGCCCCAUCAUUUGAACCCACUUCACAAUGCCCAACUCUCCGUCCCCCUUUGCCAUCUUCCCAGUCAAAAUCUCCAGCAAAACCACGCCGAAACUGUAAACAUCGCACCUUUGCCAAAAUUUUCUUUGACUAUAAUUGUUGUUGUUGUUAAAUUUUAGUUCCGGUGCAUUGUAGGCAUCAUUUAUGAAAAAGGGUGUAUGGAAAAGUUGGUGGACACCAAUGUCAGAAAUGCAAGCAUUGCCCAAUUGAUCAACUACAAUGUUAGACGAUGACAGAUGCCCAUGAAAGAGAUGAGCUUUGUUGUACCCAUGAAGAAAUGCUAGGCCUUUUGCGGAAUCAGAAGCCAGCUUUAACCUUUUAUUCCAGUCCACCGGCAUCCUCCCUGGUCCUCUAGACCCUACAGUCAAUGUAAAUAUGUACAUCAAAACAAUGUUGAAAGAAGAGGAAUUUCAUUAAGAACAUUAAUCAAGCACAUACCAUGCAAUAGUGAAUGCAGGCUUCCAUGCGGCAAAUAAUCAUAGACCAAAAAUAACUCAUCCUUGCCGUUACAGUAUGCUCUGAUGCUCACUAUAUUACUGUGUCUUAACCCACCAAUCACUCUAAGCCACUCAUCAACUUCUCUCUUCUUCUUCCUUUCUCUGAUCCUCUUCACAACGACCACGUCGCCGCCGUCCAACACGACCUUGUAAGUGGCCCCCACACACCCUUUUCCCAACAAUUCAGCGGAUGAUUUUAGCAAAUCACCAACGUUCCUAAAACCCUUGUUACACCCCUCAAACAUUACCAUCUCCUCCACAUCGCCCCCAUCUCUGGCCCCGCCGUAAUCGCCCUUGCGGUUCCCACGUUUCAUUACAACUUCUUUGUGGACCCCACCACCACCAUUCCUCAGGCUCCUUCUUUUUCUCUUAUAACAGCACCACGUGACUGUCACGACCGCCACUAAUAUCGCCACCGCAUCGAAUAUAACGAUCACUAUCACCGUUACUACUCUCGAGCUCCUAGGUCUUGAACGCGGUGGUUGCUCAGGCUCGACCGUCCGAUUGGAGCAAUCCGACGGCAACGGUCGGCCGCAGAGAUUUUUGUUUCCUGCGAACGAACUCCCUCCAAAAGGUGACAUCCACGCGGGAAUCUGGCCAGAGAGUUGGUUAUUCGAAACGUUAAAAUCCAAGAUAGACCGAGAAGACGAGUUAACUGAGUAUAGGGUUCCAGUAAAGCGGUUGUCCUCGAGUCGCAGAGUCAACAAAUUCGGCAGACGAGUCAACUCAGUCAUCGGAAUCUCACCUUCGUAAGCAUUGUGGGACAAGUCGACUCGCCGGAGGUGGCGGAGACUGGAUACCCCAGAAGGGAAUGUUCCGGUGAACCUGUUGUGAGAGAGGUAGAGGUGCUUCAAAUGGGGCCACGAAGAGAGGUUCAAGUUUGAGGACGAAAGUAGGUUGUUCUUGAGACUGAGGAGUCUGAGUUGGGUAAGUCGACUCAGAACUUCAGCUGGACCAGUAAGGUCCAAAUCCUCCAGAACGAGUUUAAUGACUCGGUGAGUAGAAGGAUUGCAGGUAACACCACGCCAUGAGUCAAAACAUGGGUCGGUGGAGUUGACCCAGCUAGAAAGAGAGUCACUAGAGCCCGUUACAGAAGCUUUGAAGGACAGUAAGGUGCUGAUAUCAGAGUAUGGGGAGUUCGACAAACAAAGAGAGAAUAAGCAAAAGAAGGAGAAAAAGAAAAUUCGACUUGCCAACAUUUUUGCUUUGGAAAAUUUCUCACACGACACAGACUCACGAGAAGCAAGCAAGUGAAAGUGAAAAGGAGGCGGUGGCUAACCGGCUAAGUAGCCGUUGUGCUUGUGCCACUGAACUGAGGGUAAAGGGGACGUGUGUUACACGUGGCAACUUAUCAUAGCGCGUUAGGGGAUCGUGUGUGUACACGCUGGUUUCACCGCGUAUUCAUUAAUUAGUAAUUAAAAUGAUUUAGAAUGAAAAUGAAUUAAAACGAAAACGAUUUUUGUAAUUUUUUUAUUAUAUUUUCGUGAACUAACGAGGACAAAGUAGAAUUUAAAAAUUUAAAUGGGAGUAUUUUUGUCAAUCUAUAAGAGUAGGAUCUUGAGAAUAAGCACCCCAAUAAUAAUUUUUAAAUUUUUAAAACCCGUAUAAAUUUCAUUCUGAUUCAAAACUUUAAAUUUAUAUAAACGCAUUAUUAAUUUCGAUUCUAGAAUUCUUAUUCCAAUUACUUGUAAGUGGACACCAUAAUUGUUGGACUGGGGGGUAUAAAGUAAGACAAGCUUUUUUAACGCAGCAGUCGGUUUCAAAUGUCAACCGUGUUUGGGUGAAUGACAGACAUGAGUGGUUUUGAGGGUUGAGCUUUCAAAGAACAACUAAGAAGAAGAGAUUUCCAGUUAGAACUGAAGGAGACAACAUUGUCUUUACCUGUCAAAUUGAAUGUUACGCUAUCUGACGUUCCAAAAAAGAAAUGGACUCCAGGCAGGCAGAGAUACUUGGACUGCGUUGUUCAUUUUUUUUUUAAAAUUUUCUUUCUUCAUUUCAUUGUUAUCCUCAAAGUAGGACUUUCGGAAAAAGGACAAAUUUAUUACUACAGAAAAUCUUACAUUCUAUUUGUCCACCCCUUAAAUUUUCUAAAAACAAAAUAGAAUUAAAAAAAAUAUAUUGUUAGCAGUUUAAUGUACGAGUGCAAACUUGCAACAUGUCAUGGAAAUAUAUGAGCAUAGAAGUUAGAACUAAUAUUUUUCAGCCAGUGGCUGAUAUAGAGGGUAAAACUAUGUUAAAAUAGUGGUACUGUAUCACUGUUGCAACCAGUCAUUGGAUCUAUAAUUAUACAGUUGUAUUAACUAGAUUUAAUGAUUGAAAACAACAGCAGUACCGUACCACUGUUGCAACAUAGUUGGACCCUGAUAUAGAACUAUCUUUUCCCUAUUUUCAGAGUUCUUUUGCAAGAUUCACCUUAGAAUUUAUACUGUUUCACCGAAUGAAAGAUAAGAAAAUGAAGCAUUGCAGAUCCGGAUAGCUUAAUAUACAUUUUUAUUUAUUUUCAGUUAUAUUAAUUUGCAAAAAAGAUGUUUAAUCAAACCUUGUGUAAAAUAAUGUAUCUGUUUAAUGAUGUAUUAAUGAAAAUGUACAAACAUACAACAAAAGGUUUUUUUUUUAAUAAGUUUUGAGCAGAAAAUAGUAAUUUAAUUAGUUGAAUAUUAACAAAUAUUUUUCUUUGUUUUUUAUCCUACAAUAAAUGUGAUUUUAAAUUCACAAUACCAAAUAGAGUCUUCGGUGAUGUCAAGAACAUCAUGCCCCAAUCUUUGUUAUGUUUAGUUCUUUUCUACUGUUGACGUUGAAUAAGUGGAUUUUAUUUUAUAGAUAUAACUCGUAGGAUAAAAUUGAAAGAAAAAAAAAAAAAUCACUUCUACAAGACAUAAUAUGUUGUUAGUUACCACUGCUGUUGUAAUGCAGAAAAUAAUAUUACCACUUGGGUGAUGUCUCUUUCAAACAAGUGUAAAAAGUAUACGUCGGCGUACAUAUUGGAUGACUCGUUGUCGCUUAUAAUUUAUAUAUAAACGACACGACAUUUGUUUCUUUAAUAUGAUUCCGACACGUCAUCUAGAUCAACUUCGAAACUUUGGCAGAUCCGCUAGAUGAUGCGUCAUUUAUAGUUUUAGUCUUAACGACAUGCCACACAUUUUUGUUAAAACUGUAGACGACGUGCCCUCCAGUUGCUUUGCUUGAUAAACGACAAGUAGAAUUAUGGAGCCCAUAAUUCAUAAUUGAUUGUUUCAAUCAACUUCCAACAACCUUAAAAGUGACACUAGUAUAUUAUUGAGAACAAAGUCUCUAACCAUUCUUCGCCUUGUAUUUGUGAUUUUCACUAAACAGAUUCUUAACUAAAGUGUUUUAUACUUAAGUGCCCACUUAGUGAUAAAUUAUAUGUUGACAGCUUCUAAACUCUAGUAACUGAUGUUGGUUUGUCAAUCCAAUUGAAUAGCCUACGCGAACCCCAAUCUUUUUCAUCUUCCUUUAAACUACGAUAAUUAUUUAAAGUUAUAAAGAUUGAAAGCAUAAUUUUGUGUGUCUGUGUGUGUGUGUUAGAACAUUUUCUUUUUUUCAAGGAUCACUUGAUUUUUUAGGAGAUUUCUUAAACUUAAUUUUACUUUUAAUUAAGUUUUUUUUAUCUUUACGGAUGUUAUGUCCAUUUUAUCAUUUUAAUUAAUUGUACUUAUUUAUCAUCAAAAUUUAAGCUUUCUUUUUCAACUCUUAUAAAAUUUUUACUCCUAUAUUUUCUUUUCAAAAUAAUGUCCAUAAUCUCGUCACUCCAACAAAAAAUUUAUGUUGUUGUUGUUGUUAUUAUUAUUAUUACUGUUAUUUAUUUGUACUAUUACUAUAAAAUGGUAUUAAGAAAAAUAAUUUACAGGAUUAAAUAAAAAAUUACCACACAAAUCUUUUUUUGGACGAUUGCGUCCACAUGAAUACACUUGGGUCAGUAGUCAAAAGGCAUAAUUGUCGAAAAAGAGAUACACAUGAUCACUAAUGAAAAAAAAAAUGGAUUUUUGUUAUGGUUUCGCCAAAUUACAGGCGUACUAUUAUCUUUUCUUAUAAUAUUUACAAUACAGAGGGAAUAAGAGUUAUAAUGAUAACUAAAAAAGUUACUCACAUGCUGUUACCAUGAUGCAACUAUCGCAUCCUGUUAAAAACUUGAACCUGAUAUUUCCCUCACUGUUACUAUUAUGCCGCAGGCAUUUUGAUAUCAAGUUUUAACAUAUCUGUUAAUCACAUUAAAUUAAAAUUUAAUUGCAUGUUUGUUAGGGUGAUGUUAUGUUACACGUUUUUAGUAUUGCAUCAAAGAAAAUGUGGUAUGUGAUCACGUUGCAUUUGAUAUGGUCGACAUAACAUUACUAUAAAUGAAGAAAAAGACUAGGAGAAGAUCAUUAAAGACUUUUAUAUGGAAGAGAAUAGAGGCACUGAUUACAGAUCGAACAUUGAACCUCAAGAAAUUAAGAAAUAGAUAUUUGAAGUGCCUAUAUAUCGAGAUUGAAGCCGAAGCUCGCACCAGAGAUCGUGUGGGAGGGAUUAUAAGCAGUGGCGGACCCAGAAACUAAAAUGAGGGGGGGCUUAGUUCAAAACUUUUUAUUUAAUUUAGAUUUUUUUUAUGUUCACUUGAAUACAUUUUAAGUCUUAUAAACUCAAAUUUUAUUACUUUCUUUUAAAUUAUAAAUAAUAAUAGUAAUAAAUUAUUUAUUUUAAAUGCAUGAAAAUAUUAUUUUUCGUAAUAUUUAAAUGCGUGAAAAUAUCAUUUUUCGAAGUAGUUCCUACAAAAUAUUUAAAAACAUAAAAUAAUGUGGCUAAUGGGAUUUGAACCAGAUUUUGAAACCAUUAAAUAACACUCUUUCAAUUGAACUACAAGUCUUUUAAUGUAUGAAAAAUGUGUCCAAAUUUUUUUAUAUAACGUUUUCAUAAGGAACUUGGGGUACAUUUAAAAGAAAACUUAAUGGCCCAGGGGGGGCUGAAGCCCCUCCUAGGCCUUAAUUGGGUCCGCCCAUGAUUAUAAGUGUUUUUAGUUUGAUAACUUACGGUCUGUUUGGGAGUGUGGUGAGAUAGUUGAAUUGUCAAAGUCUAGCUACUAAGGUGUUUAGUAAUUCUUGUAACUGGACUUUUGCAGCUUAACAAAAAAAUUUUUUUCAACUUUUAUUCUACGACAGUAUCUUUUAUUUUACAGUAUCUGCAGCUUAAAAACUACCACACCUCACUCCGAACACACCCUUAAUUGCCGAAAUACAGCUUUUAACACAUCAACAGCAGCAGCCUGAGCUCGUGCACAUGCGGUAAGCGAUUAUGCGUAAGCGUACAAGAUUGCCUUAAUUAAUUAUUUCGGAAGGCAAAUGCAACGAACGGCAAUGGAUCAUCUUCCAGCAGCCGCCGGUUCUACGGAUGCAGACAUUAGACAUCUGGUGUGAAAGCGUUAUAAUUUUUUGCUGCAGGAAUUGUUUGUACCUGUUUGACGGUUUGAUGUGAAGCGGGUGUAAUAACUACAUUUUGAUUGGUGUCCAAGUUUGGUCAUGGUACGCGCUGGUGUUGAUGAAAGAAUAAGAUGUAGCCUAACAUUGCUUGGAUUGGAGGCUUCAGGUUAUCAUUUGUCGUGAACAAUUGGAGAAAUGUGUCGGUGCCUCGGUGGUGAUGCAGAAAAAGAGAAUUGCGUAUGAAGUACUUAGAGAGUAUGGGUUGGAGAGUUGUGCAGGCGGUGAUACUAAUAACUGGUGCAGAAUUACAAGCCAAGUCCCACUACAAACGAAUUUACAUUCCAUCACUUCACAAUUUUAAACUAAACUUAGUGAAAAAGUAAAAUCUCAAUCAAUUAACGUGUCUGUAGAAUUCAAUUCACCUCUGUGUCCAUUUUUCACAUUUUAUUAAUAUUUUGUUUCAUCGUUUUAAUCAAAGAGAAAUCAAAAAAAGAAGAAGAAGAGGCUCCUCUUGUCCGUCUUCUUUGAUUCUUUAUCUAUCUCCUCAAUAAAAAUAAAAAUAAAAGUCGGUGCAAAGAAAAGGAACCAGAUGGGGAGUGGGGAGUGGGCACUGACAAAAUUCUAACUGCCCCUGUCCGAGCAGACCACGUACGCACACAAAGCACGUGCAUCCGAAUUUCACUGUCACUUUCAUCCGAAUUUAACUCUCACUUUCACCUUUCGGCUUUUCUCCACAUCGUCACACCACGAGAGACGACAAACAAUGUUCAUGUUCGUGUUCGUGUUCGUGUACUUCGCUCCCUAUUUAUCAUGAUCUCGGGAGGUUCACUUUUGAAUGCAAUGCUCUCCUUUAUAGCUUUAUCCAUUGCUUGGCAAUUUGUUUAUUUUCUAUUUUUUUUGGCAUUUCUUCUUUCUCAAUCAAUCUUAUCUUCCAAAGCGUAGUAGUAUAGUAAAUUAAGCGGAGUAAAAGAUGAUUAAUUUGUAGCACGGUUGGUGGAACGGAAGUGAGAUCAGAUUCAGAUGCACGCGAGGGAAGAAGAAGACCACUUUAAUGGAUGUGGACGACCCCCCCCAAUUAAUCAACUUACAGGAAAAACCAAAGCUUUCAUAUCAUUUAUAAAGUCAAGAUUUCAUUCUUAUUACUAUUAUUUUCUACCGUCCCCCGGUCACCACUAAACUCAAAUGUGAUAGGCACAGAAAUAAAUUAAGAUUCAACUCACACCUCAUUUUUCAAUAAAUUCAAUGCGCCUUCUCCCCAUCAGUGUGAUAUAGCUGAACAGGCCUACAAAUUUCAUAUCUUAAAUGCAAUCGUGCGUACCAUGAGCUGGAAGGUAGGCAGCCACCCACGGGGUCUUGCUCUAAUUGGUUCCCAUGACCAACAAUGAGACUCAACCAAAUUAAAUUGUUGGUCCAUCUCUUCUUCAAAACUUUUAACUCCAUAUCCAAAUUAUUUACUAAAAUUCUCAAUUUUUUAUUUUUUAUUACUAACAAGACUUGAAAAAUGCAACUCAAAACUUGCAAAACGGACCCUUCAGGUUUACCCACUCUCUAAAUUCAUCAACAAUCCUGAGAAGUCAUCAUAUCAUAUCUUUCCUGAAUGAUUAACAACCCCAUAAAAGUAUAAAUGCCCGCCGCUUUCACAAGCACAGCACUUCAUUGAAUUAUGCUUUUGCAUAAUUAUGCUACAGACCAUGUAAAUUAACAAAAAGUAAUACUCUCAUAAUUCAAUUCUCAAUGAACCAAUUUUAUAUAUAUAUAUAUAUCAACCAAAUUCACUUACAACACUUCAAAAAAAAAAAAAAAAAGGCAGAUUUUUGGGAUAAAAUUCUAAUUUAACAUCUUUCUCCUCUCUCACUCUCUCUACUCACAUUAUCAAUUUCCAAUUUCUCAACUCCAUAAUUCACCUUUCACGUUCAUCUUCAUCAGAAUAAACAGUUAACAAACUCUCAAAAAUAUAACCCAAAAAAAAAAAGGGAAAGAAGAAGGGGGGGAGAGUGGGGGUUUGUGUGUGGGGAACAAACAGCUGAAUUAAAUUUUAAAAAAAAAAGAAAAAGAAAGAAAGAACGAAAGAAGAAAAACUAAAAAGUAAAUUUCCAGAUCUUGAUCCGAAGAUCGACCUUACACUUAGACUUAUCAACGGUAGCCACCGACGGUGUCUUACCUUUUGGUAAUGCCGCUCUAAAACCUUCACACGUAACCCUAAUGCCCACCUUCUUGCUGCUGAGCUUCCCCACUUUCACUUUCACCUUCGUGUCCAGCUUUAUUUUUAAGGAAACCCCAUUCUUUUUCUUCAGAUCCGACUUCAAUGACUUCACCGAAUCGGUGUCAAGAUCAAUCGAUCCCGAGACGACCACGUUUUUGAGAAAGGUCUGGUUCUUUUUGUCCGAAAAGAAACCAGGCACAGUCCCAUUUCCGAGGAAUACGUCACUCGAGGACAAGGCAGAAAUAACGAACGGGUCGUAGUAGAAAGUGAUGUGGGAGUUUGGGUUCUUCGAAGUGACGGUGAAGUUCAAGAGAGUGGCGACGUGGUUGGUCGAUGAGUCGGCGGAGGAAGUGAGGUUGAGGCGGUGGAGCCGGAGGGAAGGGACGGAGAAUUCGGGGCGAUGGGGCCGGUAGAGGACGUAAAGAGCGGUGGCGGCGAUGGCGGCGAGUAGAGCGAGGAUGAGAAUUACGAGAAUGGUCCAGAAGCAUUUAUUUAUUAUUUUUUACUUGGUGAUUUAGAUUUGGAGAGGAAUGAAGAAUGUGUUUGUGAUAUGUAAAGUGAGAAAGGGAGUGGGAAGGGGCAAUAGUCGCCACCCAAAAGGGAUGCGUGCACCUCACCAACUUUGGAAUCUGGCUUUGCUUUCUCUGUCUCAGUCUUGACUCAAAGCUUACUCUUCUUAUAUUGUUGCUGUAAUUUCCUUUUCGUUGAU
rnacentral:lncRNA from 1 species